rnacentral:lncRNA from 1 species
GUCGACACUUGUAAUUAUUCAGCCUUCUAAUUUUUGUCAAUCUGAUGGUGCAGAACUAUAAAGUGAUAUUACGAUUUUACACUGGAUUUCUCUAAUUAUCAACAAGGAGCUGCGGCUGCCGCUGCCCAGCGUCACGCGAGAGGAUCAGACUGCAUAUCGCCAGCCCAAGAAAACGUCAAAAUUCAAAAUACGAAGUAUGGUUUCUACUAAAUGCGUAUUGCUUUUGCACCAUCGUUAAGUUGAAAAAUGGCAGGAGUGUGCACUUCUCAUCUUCCACCAUCUUUCCUGCUGGCUGCAGAAGUUAUGUCUGGCGCUAGAGCAGUCAUCUUGGACCAUGAGGUAGAAGCCAUGCACUGAAGAUGAAGAAACCACAGAGAAGGCACCUGGUUUAUUUGUCUAUACCCAGGCUAAAAGGACACUAUCCUAAUUACUGUUGCUUUAAAAUAAACCACGAUAGCUGCUAGGGCAAGUAUUCCCAUUUUAUUUUCCUCCUUUAACAGUGUCUGGGCUACUCUUGGUCCUUUGAACUACUGGAAUUUUAAAUCUGUCAACUGUGGUAAAGUGAAGAUGGUCAUAAAUUCUCUGACACUCCUCCUAUUGAGAGGUGGUCUAUUUGCCUUUCCCUUGAAUCUGGCUGGUCUUAGUGACUUAUGGUGGAAGCGGUGCUGUGUGACUUCUGAAACUGGGUCAGAAGAUGCCUUUCAGCUUCCACCUUGGUCUCUUGGAAAGCUCACUCUCCAGACACUCUCUCAAAUGACUCCCUCUCGGGUUACUCCCUCACCAUCCUGUGAGAUGUCCAGGUCACAUAGACAGGCCAUUUGUAGACGCUAUAAUUGACAGCUCCAGCUGUGUUUCUAGCCUCCAGCCAGAUUCAACAGCAUCAUGUGAGGGCGCCAUCUUAGACAGCCAGCCUUCAGAUGACUCCAGUCCUGUAGUCAACACCUGUCUGCAACCACAUUAGACGCUCUAAGAAAGGAUUAUCCAGCUGACCCCUUCCUGGAUUCCUAACCCACAAAAUUGUGAGCAAAAUAAAAUGAUUUUUAAGCCA